rnacentral:rRNA from 1 species
AUACGUAGGGGGCUAGCGUUAUCCGGAAUUACUGGGCGUAAAGGGUGCGUAGGUGGUUUCUUAAGUCAGAAGUGAAAGGCUACGGCUCAACCGUAGUAAGCUUUUGAAACUAAGAGACUUGAGUGCAGGAGAGGAGAGUAGAAUUCCUAGUGUAGCGGUGAAAUGCGUAGAUAUUAGGAGGAAUACCAGUUGCGAAGGCGGCUCUCUGGACUGAAACUGACACUGAGGCACGAAAGCGGGGGGAGCAAACAGGAUUAGAUACCCUGUUAGUCCACGCCGUAAACGAUGAGUACUAGCUGUCGGGGGUUACCCCCCUCGGUGGCGCAGCUAACGCAUUAAGUACUCCGCCUGGGAAGUACGCUCGCAAGAGUGAAACUCAAAGGAAUUGACGGGA